CGCGGACCGCGGCCAGCAGCCUGCUCCGCCCCGCCCCGGACCGCCCUGCCUCCGUGGUCGACUUCCUUCCGGGGCAGCGUACGCCACUCCCCCGGUUAGCUACCCACUGGGCUACCUCUGGAUCCACCGCGCGGCUCAGCCCUCGUUGCUGCGUGGGGUCCAGCUUGGGUUUCUGUCCCCAGACUUGCGGUUAAGUGCCCUACGCCCCGCCCCUGUCUGUGGCCGCCUCCACCUCGGGCCCAGCCCCGAGGUGUCCGGACGAUCUUUUUUCCAUACUUUACGAAAGAGUGGAAGGUACAGUGGCAGACCGGGCCGUCCUUCCCCUGGGCUCACCGGUGGUCUGAUGGAGAGGGAGCCCAGAAUGAGAUGAACAGAUCGGUAGAAUUCUAGCUACAGAGGAACAGGCAUGGUUUGCAACUGGACUCUGACCCAGACCAGGAAGGCAGCCUGCAUCAUGUUGUUACUAACUGUUCUUCAUUUACCCAUUGAUGCCUCCCCGAAAGAGACGCAGACAGUGCCAGAAAGCCCAGCUGCUAUUCCACCAACAGCCACUGGAGGGCCCCAAACCCCAUUAUGAAUCUCACCAGCAGCCCAUUACCCACACUGUACAGGUGCCCAGCAAACCCAUUGAUCAGAGCACCAUCACUUCCUGGGUGUUACCUCAGUUUGAUACAGCAGCAGAAAGCCGGUUUCCAACACACCGGAAACAUCACCGAGACCAAGCAAGACACCCAACUCGGAGAUCUACCUGCAAGUUUCCACGUCUAACCUUUGAGAGUCCAGAGUCUUCGAGUUCAGAGACAUUGUUGCUAUCCAACAGAGAGCAGCUCCAGAACUCAGAAAAGGAUGCUCCCAGAAGGCCUUUAGUGCCAUUGUUCAGUCCCCAGAGCUGUGGGGAGCUGUCAGUGCACGUACCUCAAAGCUUACCUCAUGUGUUCAUGCCCCCCGAUAUCCAGACCCCAGGGUCUUCGGUAAGAGAAGAUCCCAUUUCCCCAGACCAGAAGGAAAACAGUCUUCCUAGCUGCAUCCUUGGUCCUAGGACCCCCAGGACCCCGGAGCCGGGGCCUGUUCUGGUCAAGGACACCCCUGAGGAGAAGUAUGGGAUUAAGGUCACGUGGAGACGCAGAAGGCACCUGUUUGCCUACCUUAAGGAGAGAGGGAAGCUGGAUAAAAGCCAGUUCCUUGUGAAGACCUGACUGGACUACACAGACUUCGGUUCACCCCAGAGCUGCUGCGGGGAGGUUUCCCAAGUCACUUCUGGUUUGAGAGGAUGCAAUGGAAUGAACAUUACUAGGAAGACGACUUAGCCAGAGGCCUAGAGUUGGAAUUCGGUUUCUAGAUUUCCUUUUUAAGCCACCUUGCCUCAGAAACAGUUGAAUUUAGUAUCAUGAACUGUUGGUAUUUUUCUCAUAUUAACUUCUAAACCUCUGAAGUAUCUUGUACUGUUUACAGUGCUUGUAAAUAAAUGGCUGUCCUGAGUUUUUAGAGAACCCCACCUUUGUCAGCAAUGUGGCAGCACGCCCAUCUAUAAAAGGUCUAUCUAUGCUCAAAAAAAAAAAAAAAAAAAAAA
rnacentral:lncRNA from 14 species